rnacentral:rRNA from 1 species
UACGUAGGGGGCAAGCGUUGUCCGGAAUCAUUGGGCGUAAAGGGUGCGUAGGCGGCGCGGUAAGUCGGGUGUGAAAUCUCGGAGCUUAACUCCGAAACUGCAUUCGAUACUGCCGUGCUUGAGGACUGGAGAGGAGACUGGAAUUUAUGGUGUAGCGGUGAAAUGCGUAGAUAUCGUAAGGAAGACCAGUGGCGAAGGCGGGUCUCUGGACAGUUCCUGACGCUGAGGCACGAAGGUCAGGGGAGCAAACGGG